rnacentral:rRNA from 1 species
UGGGGAAUUUUGGACAAUGGGGGAAACCCUGAUCCAGCCAUCCCGCGUGUGCGAUGAAGGCCUUCGGGUUGUAAAGCACUUUUGUCAGGAAAGAAACGUCAUGGGUUAAUACCCCGUGAAACUGACGGUACCUGCAGAAUAAGCACCGGCUAACUACGUGCCAGCAGCCGCGGUAAUACGUAGGGUGCAAGCGUUAAUCGGAAUUACUGGGCGUAAAGCGUGCGCAGGCGGUUCGGAAAGAAAGAUGUGAAAUCCCAGAGCUCAACUUUGGAACUGCAUUUUUAACUACCGGGCUAGAGUGUGGCAGAGGGAGGUGGAAUUCCGCGUGUAGCAGUGAAAUGCGUAGAUAUGCGGAGGAACACCGAUGGCGAAGGCAGCCUCCUGGGAUAACACUGACGCUCAUGCACGAAAGCGUGGGGAGCAAACAGG